GAGAAGCGGGAUCCGCGAAAGAGCCUCUUCGACUGUAUCCACCCCCUCAUCUCCCAAAGAAAAACUCACCAGCCGCUGAACAAAUAAAAACAACAAUGAACGAGCAUUACGGUUAACGGGCCGUAAAAAAAAGAAAAAGACCAAAAGCGGAUAUGAAAUGAGAAAAGAUGGUGUGCUGGACUGUGUAUCGUGCACAAAAAGAGUUGACUCUACAUACCAGCUACACACACCUCAUCUCUUACAGAAAUAUCAGCAAACACUUUAUGAUACUCACAGUAAGCAGGUAUCGAGACACGACCCUCAUCACGAUCCUCGCCUGCGGACACAGAUCAAACGUGUGCCUCCGUGACGUGGAAGUCCAAAAGUGAUUGACGUUUCGAUGCCUAAAU